rnacentral:rRNA from 1 species
UCAGUGGCGAACGGGUGAGUAACACGUGAGCAACCUGCCCCUGACUCUGGGAUAAGCGCUGGAAACGGCGUCUAAUACUGGAUAUGUGACGUGACCGCAUGGUCUGCGUUUGGAAAGAUUUUUCGGUUGGGGAUGGGCUCGCGGCCUAUCAGCUUGUUGGUGAGGUAAUGGCUCACCAAGGCGUCGACGGGUAGCCGGCCUGAGAGGGUGACCGGCCACACUGGGACUGAGACACGGCCCAGACUCCUACGGGAGGCAGCAGUGGGGAAUAUUGCACAAUGGGCGCAAGCCUGAUGCAGCAACGCCGCGUGAGGGAUGACGGCCUUCGGGUUGUAAACCUCUUUUAGCAGGGAAGAAGCGAAAGUGACGGUACCUGCAGAAAAAGCGCCGGCUAACUACGUGCCAGCAGCCGCGGUAAUACGUAGGGCGCAAGCGUUAUCCGGAAUUAUUGGGCGUAAAGAGCUCGUAGGCGGUUUGUCGCGUCUGCUGUGAAAUCCCGAGGCUCAACCUCGGGCCUGCAGUGGGUACGGGCAGACUAGAGUGCGGUAGGGGAGAUUGGAAUUCCUGGUGUAGCGGUGGAAUGCGCAGAUAUCAGGAGGAACACCGAUGGCGAAGGCAGAUCUCUGGGCCGUAACUGACG